UAAAUAGCUAUAGUCUAACUUUCUUGCUUAUGCAGGCUGAGGAAACAGCUAUUGCCUCAUUGAAGAGAGCGCUUGGUUCUCUGAACACACACCUUGCCUCAAAGACGUUCCUUGUUGGGCAUUCUGUUACUUUAGCUGACAUUGUAUUGACAUGCAACCUCUACACUGGAUUUAUGUAUAUCCUGACCAAGAGCUUCACAUCUGAAUUCCCUCAUGUUGAGAGGUAUUUCUGGACCAUGGUUAACCAGCCUAACUUCAAGAAGGUCAUCGGCGAUGUCAAGCAGGCAGAGUCAGUGCCUCCUGUUCAGAAAAAGGCCGCUCCUCAGCCAAAGGCAAAGGAUGUCAAGAAAGAAGCCCCAAAGGAGGCCCCGAAGCCAAAGGUGGAGGCACCAGCAGAAGAGGAGGCACCAAAGCCGAAGCCGAAGAAUCCUCUUGACUUGCUGCCACCAAGCAAGAUGAUCCUCGAUGACUGGAAGAGGCUGUACUCAAACACAAAGACCAACUUCCGUGAGGUUGCCAUCAAAGGUAUCUUCUCCACCUUAUAUCAACAAUAUAUUAUUUUUUUCCUUCCAAUCUUUGAAUGUGAGUGGCUGGUGCUGUAGUCUCGUUUGCAGUCUAUCAAUGUUAUGUUACAUUGACACUAGCUAGAGAAUUGGGACUCCCCUCUAAAUUGGGUGCUUCAUCCUGAUAAAAAUCUGGAUGUGGCCUUAUGAUCAAAUAUAUUGUUGUUUUAGACAGAAUGUAUGGUCUUAUACAUUUUACUUGAGCCAACAACAGAUAGCUGCAAAGAUCUACACCAAUCCAAACUCAGUGGUAACAAUAGUUGUGUAUCAUGUAAGCACUAAUAAGAAGAAUACUGAAUUUUAGUUUGCAACAGCAGUUUACACUUAUCUUAGUAAAUUAAUUAGAUGAAUGUGCUAAUUUCAUUCUUCCACGUCUGUGGAACUUUUACCAAAGAAGCUUAUGUGCUGUCUGUGUUUCAGGUUUCUGGGACAUGUAUGACCCAGAGGGCUACUCUCUGUGGUUCUGUGACUACAAGUACAAUGAUGAGAACACCGUCUCCUUUGUGACCAUGAACAAGGUUGGUGGGUUCCUGCAGCGGAUGGACCUGUGCCGCAAGUACGCCUUUGGCAAGAUGCUCGUGGUCGGUUCUGAGCCCCCCUUCAAGUUGAAGGGGCUCUGGCUCUUCCGUGGCCAGGAGGUCCCCAAGUUUGUCAUGGAUGAGGUCUAUGACAUGGAGCUCUACGAGUGGACCAAGGUGGACAUCUCGGACGAGGCACAGAGGGAGCGUGUCAGUGCCAUGAUCGAGGACCAGGAGCCCUUCGAGGGUGAGGCCCUGCUUGAUGCCAAAUGCUUCAAGUGAGGUUGCACUUACCUAGAGAGAACUGUUUAGGCUUUGGGUCGGAUGUUUAUGGAAGAGUUUGCUUGUUACUUCUGUCUAUGUUGACCUGUUAUACUCAUGAGUUGUGGUUGGUUAAAUUUUGGGCUAUCCUGUGUUCUUUAGUAUUUGAUUGGGCUAUCUUUCAAGUCAGUAAUCUGGUGCUGUUGUCUUAUGUGACUGUUGGAUUAUUGGACUAGUAGUGCUUAGCUUAUUUUUAACAUUCCUAGUUGCAAUUGCAAGACAGCAAGAACAAGCGUCGUAGGAGUAGCUUUUGUUUUGCUUGUGUUUGAGCUCCAUGUAUUGAAACUGUUCUAGUGGUUUCACACUAAAAUGGUUGUGAAAGUCAGCACGGCUUUAGCCGAUUCAUUUGUUUCGCGAAAGCCUUCUUCGGUUAGAGGUGAGACAUGUGAUUAUUUCACAUUAUCAUUGGUGGGAAAGCAUAUGGACUAGGAGGCUACUAAGCAGGGAGGGGUCUCCGGAUAAGCCUUGGUCCAGACCCCUCCCCGCUCUCUUAUCUUCCUCACACCGCUCUCUUAUCUUCCUCACGUUGUUCCUGUCUUCCUCGGUUCCUCCGCAUGCCUCUCCCCCGCCUUGCCACUAGCAUCCCCUCGUCGACGUCACCUCCGUUGCCGGCGAGGACCGUCCUCCCCUACCCUCCCCUACCACCUCUGCCUCUCCCUCCUAUUCCUCCCACACUCUUCUCCUUCAGGAUGAGCUCCCCACCUCUUUCGGGUCCGGCGGCGUUGCCUCGAUGACCGCUCCCACCCUAAUCCAACCAAAGCAAUAAGCCCCAAACCCAACCGCCAUCCUCCACCACCGUGGUGGGUGGCGCCACCGCCGUCCCGCCCACACACCGACACCACCGUUGGUCCGACAACCUCCCCCGACCAUCCCUUUAGACCCGGCAGGAACGGACCACCUCCCCAACCCCAAACCUCGAAACCUUAACCCCAACCCUAAGCCCUAACACGAAGGUUGCUGGAGUUGGAGGUUGCCAGAAUUCGAGCUGCCGAUCGAUGUGUGAUUUGUUACUUCUUCGAUUCGAUUGUUACCUAUUCUUCACUUUUCCCUCUUUUGGUCCUUGUUUCUUACCGACGUAUUUUGUCCUUCCAAAACAGGAGGGCUCUCGGUUUAAGUCUAAAUUGAGAGGCCUCUCCCUGCAGAUUAUGCGUAUGGACUAAUCGCACCAUUGACAACAUGAGAUUGUGCAAGGACAAUGUGCAAGCAUAGUGAUUUGGAAAAGGCAUCAAUUUUAUCAAUAGCACUGAAACAGCAACAUUUUACUAGUGAUGGUGAAAAUCAGCAAUAUAUGGGUUUACAGAGAACAAUUCUCCAAAGAAAUAAAGGAUAGCCCAAAAUAAACAGCACCAAUUCCUAGUUUCACGCCAUUUUUGCAUCCCCGGCUAGUAGAUGAAAGCAUAUUCUUGUUACGUUCUGAUGAAUGGUACUCUUCCAUUAUAGUCGACAUGAAUUAUUGCGGCGAUUUGAGAAUCACUUUUGACGCCUCAUGCUCGACGAUUUUGUGUAUGGUUCAGGGUGGACUGCACAAUGAACGUACAAGUUGCAAACAGAAUUACUUAAGAUCAAGAUGGGUGCCACUGUUCUAGAAACAACAUUAGUUGCAAACAAGCAAAUGAGAAAUCAAGCAAUACUCAUGCAGAUGUGAUCAAGCUUUAUGUAUUUCUUUUUCUUUAUAUGACCAAGUUGUAGAACUUCGAAAUGUCUUUAACUCUACUCCCUCCGUUCCAAAUUGUAGGUCAUUUUAAUUUUCCUAGAUAUAGUAUAUAUCUAGAUGCAUAAUAAUAUCUAUAAAUCUAGAAAAGUCAAAACGAGUCAGAAAGGAUGGAGUAAGAUGGUAUGAAGACGUAAGAUGUGCAUGUGCUACAUCAAAUCCAAAACUUGAUACUAAAUUCUUGCUCUCAAGUUUAGUUCCAGGUUUCUAAGUUCAGCUGAAACCAAGUUAAACUGUGAUUCUAUUCGAUCUAUUACUUAGAGCCUGUUUGGAUACCCUGUGUUAAAGCUUAACAAGUGUUAAAGUUUUAACACUCUCAAAUGGAGUGCUAAAGUUUAACACAUUGGGGUGUUUGGAUGGUGUGUUAAACUUUAACACCUUUGGUAGGAAAUGACUCCAUUGCCCUCUCAUUUAUGGCCGACGGAGAGAGAGGGAGGAGAGAGAAGGAGGCAAUGGUGGGAAAAAGUGGAGAAGGGGGACCACUUUUAAUAAGUUUAACAACUUUUAACACCUCCUUAAGGUGUUUAUGAAAUUGGAGAUGUUAAACUUUAACACAUUCCUUUUAACACAUGCCUUUAGGAGAUAAUGUGAUAAAAAUAUGUUAAAAAGUGAGGUGUUAAACUUUAACACCCUCUAUCCAACCAGGGCCUGAACUUACCCGCCACGGAAGGUAAAAGAUUGGUCAAUGCGAAAGGGUGGAAAUUGUUUGUUGUUUUGUGUUAAACACCCUCGUUAGCUCCGAAGAAAGUGUAGCCAGGACCUGAUUUUAAAUUGCAAGUUAGUACGAGGAGCUUAACCACAAAAGGACCCAUCCAGAUCCGACGCAUCCAGCUCACCCCGCAAUCAAUCUCGUCCGUCCAAUCCUUCCCAUCCGGACGCCUGCCGCCGCAACCCUAGACAUUGGCUUCCUUCCCCCGUCCCCUCCGCUGCGCCGCCAUCGCAUAAAUUCGCCUCCCUCUCCCACCGUAAACCCCUCCCUCUUCCUCCGGCGGCCUGCUCCUGCGAUCUGUGCUGCGGAUCUGCUGAGGCUGCAGCGGGACCAGUCGACAUGGCGCUCGUGAGUUCCUUCGCGCUUCCACCUCUGGGUUUUGUUCCUGCUGUUUCAGAAGUGGCUCUGUGGUUCAUCGCGCAUCGGACUGCCUGUGCGGAUCCUAUGGUGGCCGCGGCUGUUGGGCUGAUGGGGUUUUGAUGCUUGAGGAUUCAUGCCAUGUAGUUAGCUUGAUGUACGCGGGUCACUUGGGUGUGGAACCUGUAGAUGCGAACGGGGUGUGGUAGGCUGCCUAGAUCCUCGACUCUGCUUUCGGUCAGGCGUGUCUUCAGUGAAACAUCACCGAUCCCCUGGUUCGUUUCAACUUCAACAGCACCAAAAACUUCGGCCUUCAGAAAGUGCAGCGAUAGGUCAUUUGUCCGCUUCGCUUGUUUACAACCGGGGGUUAGGGGGGUGAUGCCUUAGUGCUAAUGAUGUGAUUCAGAGUCGCUGACCUACUAGUAGAAUGGUUGGGUGUGCAUUUGUAUAGGGCCUUUGACCUUUGAUCCAGGGUGAUCAUGAUAUUUUGGUAGGGUGUAUAACCGUUUUAUGUGCAACUCAAGUAGAAUAAUGUAUUUGAACCAUUGGAUUCAAUUAGGAGCUACUAUCUGGUCAUCCCAACCCAAGUCAUUUUAAGCUUCUGGUCCUUAGUUGUAAUUGAGUUGUAAGUUUUGAGGAAAUUGUUGCACACAUAGCAGUGCUCUUUUGGGUGACCUUGAAAGGAAAAUAAGGGUGUUUUAGAGUGUUUAUCAUGAUGCAGCUCAGCUACAGUGCGUAGGAGGAAUUGAAGUUGAGAGGUGAAGCAUGAAUUGUGGUUUAUUUUGAUAAUUUUGCAGUUAGGCAAUUCAAAACAAGUACUGUUUGCUAUUCUAGUCCCACCUGCACAUUCCUUUACCUAGUUGUAUUUCUAAACCAUCUUGAUUGGCUUAAUUUGCAUGAUAAAUGCUCCUAUGUCUUGUUGGGAAACAGAGAUUUCACUGACCAUUUCCGAGUAUAAACACACAAUCUGGGCAAUUGGUGUCUUUGCUUGUGUAUUUUUCCCUACUAUAGUGAAACACAUCUGUCAAGUGGAUAAUGUUUAUGUUCUGGUUCUUCACUUAGAUAAUGGUCUAGAUGUCAUUACUUGGCUUGCAUGUGUACCAUUAAAUUAACAUUCACAGAGGACUUCCAAUUUUUAACUCUAUGUCUAAUAUAAUUUUUGUUGCAUAGGUAUUGCAUUCUGGACCUGGAAACAAGAAUGCCUUCAAGGCACUUAUUGCUGCAGAAUACAGUGGGGUCAAGGUUGAGCUGACCAAGAAUUUUGAGAUGGGUGUCUCCAACAAGACCCCUGAGUUUCUUAAGAUGAACCCCCUUGGGAAGGUACAACAUACACCAACUACAUCUUCGAAAUAGUUAUGUAUAGAGGUUCAGGACCUAACAAUUUCAUUCAGGUUCCUGUUCUGGAGACUCCGGAUGGUGCUAUUUUCGAGAGCAAUGCUAUUGCACGCUAUGGUAUAUACUUAAUUCCACACUUUUGAAUUCUAAUUCUUUCUUUGACUUUCUGUUGAUGGUAACGAUGGCUCUGUUUUUCUUUUAAGUUGCUCGCUUGAAGGAUGACAACCCUCUUUUUGGGUCUUCUCGUAUUGAACAAGUGAGUGAUUUAUUGGAUGGUAGCAUACCCUGAUAAGUAAGUUUUAGGCAUAUAACCUCUGAACCUCAUCAAUGGUUCUUGCAGGCCCAUGUUGAGCAAUGGAUGGACUUUGCUGCAACCGAAGUUGAUUCUGGUGUUGCAUGGUACUUGUACCCAAGGCUUGGUUACAUUCCUUAUGCUCAGACGGUAAGUUGUUGGAUGGGUAACUUGGAUCUGUAUUAUUGAACAAGGAAUAGCUAGUCUAACCUUUUUGCUUGUGCAGACCGAGGAAACAGCUAUUGCCUCAUUGAAGAGAGCGCUUGGUUCUCUGAACACACACCUUGCCUCAAAGACAUUCCUUGUUGGGCAUUCUGUCACUCUAGCCGACAUUGUAUUGACAUGCAACCUCUACCAUGGAUUUGCACGGAUCUUGACCAAGAGCUUCACAUCUGAAUUCCCUCAUGUUGAGAGGUAUUUCUGGACUAUGGUUAACCAGCCUAACUUCAAGAAGGUCAUGGGUGAUGUCAAGCAGGCAGAGUCAGUGCCUUCUGUUCAGAAAAAGGCCGCUGCUCAGCCAAAGGCAAAGGAUGUCAAGAAAGAAGCCCCAAAGGAGGCCCCGAAGCCAAAGGUGGAGGCACCAGCAGAAGAGGAGGCACCAAAGCCGAAGCCGAAGAAUCCUCUUGACUUGCUGCCACCAAGCAAGAUGAUCCUCGAUGACUGGAAGAGGCUGUACUCAAAC
rnacentral:lncRNA from 1 species